rnacentral:rRNA from 1 species
AUUGAACCCUACCGUCAGGCCUAACACAUGCAAGUAUCACGAGAGUCGUACGGGUGAGUAAUGUGUGGGAAACUGCCCGAUGGAGGGGGGUAACUCCUGUAGACGGUAGCUAAUACCGCCUAACCUCACUUGUGCCCAGCUGGGAUUAGCUUGUUGGUUGGGUAACGGUUCACCAAGGCGACGAUCCCUAGCGGGUCUGAGAGGAUGACCAGACACACUGGCAUGGAGACAGGGUCCAGAAUCCUACGGCAGGCAGCAGGGUGGAAUAUUGCACAAUAGGAGAAAGCCAGAGGCAGCGAUGAAGUGUGUAUGAAGAAGGCCUUCGGGUUGUAGAGUACGUUCAGCGGAGAGGCGUUACCCGCAAAGGAAGCACGUGCUAACUCCGUGGCAGCAGCCGCGGUAAUAC